rnacentral:lncRNA from 1 species
UAUGGUACCUGAUGUGUUUAUUAUAUGGUUUCGUAUGCAUGAAUCACAGUUUCAUAUAUUAUGGUUUGAAUUAUUGUGAACCCGAUGUUGUGUGGCUUUAUUUGGUGUCCAUUACUAGUUUACGUGUUUAUGUUUGAUUGGAUAAUUGAAAUUAAGAAAAAUGAAAAAAAGUAUGUGAAUUGAUAAAUGGAUAAUGUCGACAGCCUAACUAGAUAUCCCUAGGAGAUGGUGGACGGACCGGAUCCAUAGGAAACCCUACCGGGAACGUGAUCUCUCAUAUCGGACGGGGUAUGGAGACUUUAUGUGUUUUGGCGCCCAUACCGGA